GGUGCCAAAUAUCUUGCUCAGUGGUUAGAACAUCUACUUUGCAUGCAGAAGGUCCCGGGUUCCAUCCCUGGCAGUUCCA